UUAAGUUCAGCGGGUUUUCUUACCCGAUUUCAGACCAAGUUAAACAGAUGCAGCUCCAAAAAGAGAACUACAGCUGGUAUAAUUGUAUUCUGCCUACCGAGCAGCACUGCUACUAUCACCGUGGUCAAGCGAAUAGAAAAAUCUGUUGCACUUGAUUGACCGGCAAAAGAGCCGAACUGCAGCACGCAAAUGAAUUCCAG
rnacentral:misc_RNA from 1 species